ACGGGCUUGGGAGAAUCAGCGGGGAAAGAAGACCCUGUUGAGCUUGACUCUAGUCCGACUUUGUGAAGACACAUGAAGNGGUGUAGCAUAGGUGGGAGCGCGAGCGCAGUUGAAAUACCACUACUUUUAUCGUUUCUUUACUUAUUCAGUAAAGCGGAGAGCGGGGCGCAAGCCCCUCGCUUCUGGAGUUAAGCCUCGGACCCCCUAACCGGGCGGCCCGGGGCGAUCCGCUCUGAAGACAGUGUCAGGCGGGGAGUUUGACUGGGGCGGUACAUCUGUCAAAAGGUAACGCAGGUGUCCUAAGGCGAGCUCAGCGAGGACGGAAACCUCGCGUAGAGCAAAAGGGCAAAAGCUCGCUUGAUUUUGAUUUUCAGUACGAAUACAGACCGUGAAAGCGUGGCCUAUCGAUCCUUUUGACUUUAAGAGUUUUAAGCAAGAGGUGUCAGAAAAGUUACCACAGGGAUA
rnacentral:rRNA from 1 species